AUUGAACGCUGGCGGCAUGCCUUACACAUGCAAGUCGAGCGCGAAAGGGGGGCAACCCCCGAGUAGAGCGGCGGACGGGUGAGUAAUACAUCGGAACGUACCCAGUAGUGGGGGACAACCUCGAGAAAUCGAGGCUAAUACCGCAUACGACCCACGGGUGAAAGCGGGGGACCGCAAGGCCUCGCGCUAUUGGAGCGGCCGAUGUCCGAUUAGCUAGUUGGCGGGGUAAGGGCCCACCAAGGAGACGAUCGGUAGCUGGUCUGAGAGGACGACCAGCCACACUGGGACUGAGACACGGCCCAGACUCCUACGGGAGGCAGCAGUGGGGAAUGUUGGACAAUGGGGGCAACCCUGAUCCAGCCAUGCCGCGUGCGGGAAGAAGGCCUUCGGGUUGUAAACCGCUUUCGGCCGGAACGAAAUCGCCCGGGUGAACAUCCCGGGUGGAUGACGGUACCGGAAGAAGAAGCACCGGCUAACUACGUGCCAGCAGCCGCCGUAAUAC
rnacentral:rRNA from 1 species